rnacentral:rRNA from 1 species
AGUGAACGCUGGCGGUAGGCCUAACACAUGCAAGUCGAACGGCAGCACAGCAAGAGCUUGCUCUUACGGGUGGCGAGUGGCGGACGGGUGAGGAAUACAUCGGAAUCUACUUUUUCGUGGGGGAUAACGUAGGGAAACUUACGCUAAUACCGCAUACGACCUACGGGUGAAAGCAGGGGAUCUUCGGACCUUGCGCGAUUGAAUGAGCCGAUGUCGGAUUAGCUAGUUGGCGGGGUAAAGGCCCACCAAGGCGACGAUCCGUAGCUGGUCUGAGAGGAUGAUCAGCCACACUGGAACUGAGACACGGUCCAGGCUCCUACGGGAGGCAGCAGUGGGGAAUAUUGGACAAUGGGCGCAAGCCUGAUCCAGCCACACCGCGUGGGUGAAGAAGGCCUUCGGGUUGUAAAGCCCUUUUGUUGGGAAAGAAAAGCAGCAGGUUAAUACCCCGCUGUUCUGACGGUACCCAAAGAAUAAGCACCGGCUAACUUCGUG